CCCCAGACUCCUACGGGAGGCAGCAGUGGGGAAUAUUGCACAAUGGGGGAAACCCUGAUGCAGCGACGCCGCGUGAGCGAAGAAGUACCUCGGUAUGUAAAGCUCUAUCAGCAGGGAAGAAGAUGACGGUACCUGACCAAGAAGCUCCGGCUAAAUACGUGCCAGCAGCCGCGGUAAUACGUAUGGAGCAAGCGUUAUCCGGAUUUACUGGGUGUAAAGGGGGCGCAGACGGCAGCGCAAGCCAGGAGUGAAAGCCCGGGGCCCAACCCCGGGACUGCUCUUGGAACUGCGCGGCUGGAGUGCAGGAGAGGCAGGCGGAAUUCCUAGUGUAGCGGUGAAAUGCGUAGAUAUUAGGAGGAACACCAGUGGCGAAGGCGGCCUGCUGGACGACAACUGACGGUGAGGCGCGAAAGCGUGGGGAGCAAACAGGAUUAGAUACCCCAGUAA
rnacentral:rRNA from 1 species